UACGUAGGGCGCAAGCGUUAUCCGGAAUUACUGGGCGUAAAGCGCACGUAGGCGGGUUCUUAAGUCGGUGGUGAAAUCCUGGAGCUCAACUCCAGAACUGCCUUCGAAACUGGGAAUCUUGAGUCCGGGAGAGGUGAGUGGAACUGCGAGUGUAGAGGUGAAAUUCGUAGAUAUUCGCAAGAACACCAGUGGCGAAGGCGGCUCACUGGCCCGGUACUGACGCUGAGGUGCGAAAGCGUGGGGAGCAAACAGG
rnacentral:rRNA from 1 species